AGAUUUGAAAUCUGGCCCUCCCCGCGGGGGCCCGAGUUGUAAUCUGCAGAGGAUGCUUCUGGCGCGGCGCCUUCCGAGUUCCCUGGAACGGGACGCCACAGAGGGUGAGAGCCCCGUCUGGUCGGACGCCAAGCCUGUGUGAAGCUCCUUCGACGAGUCGAGUAGUUUGGGAAUGCUGCUCAAAACGGGAGGUAUAUGUCUUCUAAAGCUAAAUACCGGCCAGAGACCGAUAGCGCACAAGUAGAGUGAUCGAAAGAUGAAAAGCACUUUGAAAAGAGGGUUAAACAGUACGUGAAAUUGUUGAAAGGGAAGCGCUUGCGACCAGACGUGGGCGCGGCGAAUCAUCCGGCGUUCUCGCCGGUGCACUUCGUCGCGCCCAGGCCAGCAUCGGUUCGCUGCGGGGGAUAAAGGCGGCGGGAACGUGGCUCCCCCGGGAGUGUUAUAGCCCGCCGCGCAAUGCCCUGCAGCGGACCGAGGUCCGCGCAUCUGCUAGGAUGCUGGCGUAAUGGUCAUCAGCGACCCGUCUUGAAACACGGACCAAGGAGUCGUCUUCGUAUGCGAGUGUUCGGGUGUCAAACCCUUACGCGCAAUGAAAGUGAACGCAGGUGAGAGCUUCGGCGCAUCAUCGACCGAUCCUGAUGUUCUCGGAUGGAUUUGAGUAAGAGCAUACGGGGCCGGACCCGAAAGAAGGUGAACUAUGCCUGUGUAGGGUGAAGCCAGAGGAAACUCUGGUGGAGGCUCGCAGCGGUUCUGACGUGCAAAUCGAUCGUCA
rnacentral:rRNA from 1 species